CCUACGGGAGGCAGCAGUGAGGAAUAUUGGUCAAUGGCCGUAAGCCUGAACCAGCCAAGUAGCGUGAGGGAAGACUGCCCUAUGGGUUGUAAACCUCUUUUAUGCGGGAAUAAAGUUCUGCACGUGUGGAUUUUUGCAUGUACCCCAUGAAUCAGGCCCGGCCAAUUCCGGGCCAGCAGCCGCGGUAAUCCGGAAGUUCCGGGCGUUAUCCGGAUUUAUUGGGGUUAAAGGGAGCGUAGUCGGGUCUUUAAGCCAGCCGUGAAAGUUUGUGGCUCAACCAUGGGAGUGCGGUGGGAACUGGGGGGCUGGAGUGCAGGAGAGGCAGGCGGAAUUCGUGGUGUAGCGGUGAAAUGCGUAGAUAUCAGGAAGAACACCGAUGGCGAAGGCAGCCUGCUGGAGUGCAACUGACGCUGAGGCUCGAAAGCGUGGGGAGCAAACAGGAUUAGAUACCCCAGUAGUC
rnacentral:rRNA from 1 species